GAGUCGUGUCUAGUCAGCGAAGCGUUAAUAUAACUACGACGACUUAUGUCCACUGACACCCAUCACUCCACCUGGCCCAGCGUUACGUGUGUUCCCUCGCUAUGAUAAUGAAGAUGUUGGAAAAUACAGGUAACCUGCAUGUCGCGUUUCUCCUCUGUCUCAUCAAUCCAUGUUUGUCAACUGACGUCUACAAAUAUUUUACAACCCAAGGGAGAGACCGGCUUGUGGAGGCCUUGUUUGACGGAGACGGAGGCUAUGCUGACUGCGCUGUCUUUGGGGACAGGAACGUGGUUGGAAAUAUUUGAAAGAAGUCUCAGCAGAAAAGAUAGAGGAGAUCAAUAAAAGUGACCUUGACCUGUAUAUUGAAAAAUGUCACGAGUUUCACCUGACCUUGGACGACAGUCCCCUGAGAAGGAAGAGAUUUGCCGCCAUAUACCCAGGAACCAAGUGGUGCGGCAUUGGCAACAUCUCCAGUCCUUCCGGCGAGCUGGGUGUUCACAACUACACCGACGCCUGCUGCCGUCAGCACGACUACUGCCCAGACUACAUACUCCCCUUCGCGUCGAAGUAUGGCCUCUACAACUUCGCCUUGUAUACCAGGUUUGACUGUGCCUGUGACGAGAAGUUUUAUCAGUGUCUGAAAGCGUCUCCGGACGAUGCUGCUGUCAACGUUGGCAAGAUAUACUUUAAUCUGCUGAGUAUCAAGUGCAUGGGGUACGGACAUCCCCAGACGUGUAUUAAAAGGUGGUGGUUCAUCUGUUUGAAGUAUGGCGAAGACAAGUCAAGGACCGUCAGGAAGUUCACAAAUGGUCGCCGUUUUUGAUGCGGACCCUGGCGGCGUUGAAAUAUGUUUUUUUAUAUCUUUAUUACUUUACAAAAUAAAACAUUGCACAUAUGUCAAACAGCAUUGAGUCAUAGAAUGUCAACGACAUUCACUCUCAGAUGAUGGAAACUUUGAUACGGCUGUAGUUAUUACGUCAAAUCUAGGGACACAUCACAAGCAGAAGACAAGGGUCGUCUUCGUCGCGGGAUUGCAGAUCUUGUGGAAAGCUUUUCUUUUAUACAAACACACCUUAUAUUGACGUGACAUACUAUGAUUCGGCCUCUUCUUGCCUGAACAUUAAGAAAGUUGAAUGACAAAAGUUCCAAAUGUAAUGCUAAUUUAGGCUCGCUUCAGUUGCCUCCCUUCUUUAUGACAAUACAUAUGUUCAGGUCUUAAAAUGAGAUUGUGAUAUCACCAUAUUCCAUGUAUUUGUGAUAAGACGAGGUGAAUGUUCUAAAUUAACAUGUUUAUGAUGUGAAUUUAACAUGGUGUUUCGUGAGAGGCUUUUGUACAUAAUAAAAGAUGUAUUGUGUA